UUUUAUGUUAAAUUUGAAUUUACAAAUAAAAUUCAAAAUGCGAUCAUGAUUUUAAUUUAAAUUUAAAAUAAAAUUCAACUUUAAAAAUAAAUUUAAAGAUUAAAAUUAAGACCAAAUAUAAUUUUUUAUGUAAGCCUUUCAAUUUUAGUGACUUCUAAAUUCUUUGAGUCGAAGUCAAAAAAGUGAGAUUUAAUUAUAACUCACUUCAUCAGCCCACUUUUAUAAAGUGACUUUUAUAUUCACUUUCGCAAACCAAACAAUCGAUAAGACGUCACUUUUUAAAAGUGUCAUUUUCGAUACUUUCCUGUCGGUCAACCAAAUAUAUCCUUAGGCCUCGUUUCGUUGGGGGUAUAAGCAGGAACAACGAAAGUUAUCCCCGAUAUUCUGCCAAACGGGAUGAAAUUUGGCCGGGAUAUUUAAUCCUAGUCAAACCUUGCUAUUUUCGGUUAUUCCGAAAUAGCAAAAGAUUUGUUAUUCCACCAUUUUGAUGGAAUAGUGCUAUUCCAAUGCUUAAUUUCAAACUUAAUUAAAAUUAUAAAUUAAAUUAAAACUAAAGUAUAUAAAUAUACUAUGUUAUAUAUUAUAAUACAUUAUUUUUAUUAUAAAAUUAUUAAUUGUACUAUAUUAAUACAUAUUAUUUAUAUUUAAAUAUUAUAAUAAAAUUUAUAAUAAAUUAUAUUUAAAUAUUAUAAUAAAUUCUUUUUAUUAAAUUUAAGUUUAAGUAGAAUUUAAAAAAAAAUUAUAAAUUUAUUAUAAUAAAUUAUUUUUAUUAAUUGUUCCCACCCUUAUUCUUAUUUUAAAAUUUUAAAAAUUAAAAAUUUAAAUUUUAAAAUUUAUAAUUUAUAAUUUAUAAUCUCAAAAUUAAAGUUUAUAAUUUUAAAUUUCAAAUUUUAAAUUUUGACAUUUUAAAUGUUUGAAAUUUAAAAUUUGAUAUUUUAUAUUUUUCAAAUUUAAAUUUGAUCUUAAAUUUAAAGUUUGAAAUUUAAAAUUUAAAAUUUUGAAUUUAAAAUUUGAGAUUUUAAAUUUCAAAUUUUGAAAUUUCAAAGUUAAAAUUUUAAAUUUAAAAAUAUAAAAUUAAAAAUUUAAAAAUUUAAAUUCAAAUAUAAUAAGAGGAUAAUAUCAUUACUUUUUAUUUAUAAAACCCACUAUCCUUCUUAUUCCAUCUUAUCUAACCAAACACUAUUUAUUUUAUUCCCAGAAAUAACCAAAUUUUCAUCCAAACGCAAAAUUGAUCUAAUCCCCACUGAUAUGUCAAUUUAUACUUAUUACUGGAAUAGCUAUUUUUUGUUUAUCCCCAAACCAAACGAUACCUUAAUAUAAUGUGGCAGUAGUUUUGUAAUUCUUCAUCUCUAAAAAAAGAGUUAGAAUCGAGUUUUAUUGGCAGUCUGUUUCAGCUAGGGAUGUCAACGGGUCGGAUUCGGGGCGGAUUUUUAAAAACCCGAACCCGAACCCGACUCCAAACCCGAGACCCGAGAUGCGAACCCGAACCCGAACCCGACGGAUUUUAAAAAUCCAUAUCCAAACCCGAACCCGACCAAAAAUCCGAAACCCGAACCCGAAAAUUUGAACCCGAAACAAUUAUUUUUUUUUUCAAUAUUUCAAAAUAUAUUAUAUUAAAUUUAAAAUUUUAAAAUCAAUUCAAAUAUAACAUCAAUAUAUAUAUAUAUAUAUAUAUAUUAUAUAUAAUACAAAAUAAAUUCGGGUUCGGGUUCGGGUUCGGGUUCGGGUCGGGGUCGGGUUCGGGUCGGGUACAAUCAAAAUCCAUAUCCGAAUCCAUAUCCGUCGGGUUUUUAUUUUUUAUAUCUAUAUCCAAAUCCAUAUCCAUAUUCAUAUCCAUCGAAUAUAUCCGUUUCAUUCGAAUUCAGGUUCGGAUAAAAUUUCGGAUAUUCAUACCCAUUGACAUCCCUAGUUUCAGCUUGUGGGGAGUUGGGCUAUUAUAAGUA
rnacentral:lncRNA from 1 species